rnacentral:rRNA from 1 species
CCUACGGGAGGCAGCAGUGAGGAAUAUUGGUCAAUGGACGAGAGGCUGAACCAGCCAAGUAGCGUGAAGGAUGACUGCCCUAUGGGUUGUAAACUUCUUUUAUAAAGGAAUAAAACGAGGCACGUGUGCCUUUUUGCAUGUACUUUAUGAAUAAGGAUCGGCUAACUCCGUGCCAGCAGCCGCGGUAAUACGGAGGAUCCGAGCGUUAUCCGGAUUUAUUGUGUUUAAAGGGAGCGUAGAUGGGUUGUUAAGUCAGUUGUGAAAUUUUGCGGCUCAACCGUAAAAUUGCAAUUGAUACUGGCAGUCUUGAGUACAGUUGAGGUAAGCGGAAUUCGUGGUGUAGCGGUGAAAUGCUUAGAUAUCACGAAGAACCCCGAUUGCGAAGGCAGCUUACUAAACUGUGACUGACAUUGAUGCUCGAAAGUGUGGGUAUCAAACAGGAUUAGAUACCCUUGUAGUC